ACGGGAGGCAGCAGUAGGGAAUCUUCCACAAUGGGCGAAAGCCUGAUGGAGCAACGCCGCGUGAGUGAAGAAGGAUUUCGGUCCAUAAAACUCUGUUGUAAGGGAAGAACAAGUACAGUAGUAACUGGCUGUACCUUGACGGUACCUUAUUAGAAAGCCACGGCUAACUACGUGCCAGCAGCCGCGGUAAUACGUAGGUGGCAAGCGUUGUCCGGAAUUAUUGGGCGUAAAGCGCGCGCAGGUGGUUUCUUAAGUCUGAUGUGAAAGCCCACGGCUCAACCGUGGAGGGUCAUUGGAAACUGGGAGACUUGAGUGCAGAAGAGGAUAGUGGAAUUCCAAGUGUAGCGGUGAAGUGCGUAGAGAUUUGGAGGAACACCAGUGGCGAAGGCGACUAUCUGGUCUGUAACUGACACUGAGGCGCGAAAGCGUGGGGAGCAAACAGGAUUAGAUACCCUGGUAGUCCACGCCGUAAACGAUGAGUGCUAAGUGUUAGGGGGUUUCCGCCCCUUAGUGCUGCAGCUAACGCAUUAAGCACUCCGCCUGGGGAGUACGGUCGCAAGACUGAAACUCAAAGGAAUUGAC
rnacentral:rRNA from 1 species